rnacentral:rRNA from 1 species
GCCUUACACAAAGGGAUAGCCUCGGGAAACCGGGAUUAAUACCAUAUGAUAUCUAUUCACCGCAUGGCCUAUAGAUUAAAGAAUUUCGGCGUAAGAUGAGCUCGCGUCCCAUUAAUUAGUUGGUGAGGGUAACGGCCCACCAAGAUAGCGAUGGGUAGCCGAUCUAAGAGGAUGACCGGCCACAUUGGAACUGAGAAACGGUCCAAACUCCUACGGGAGGCAGCAGUGGGGAAUAUUGCACAAUGGGGGAAACCCUGAUGCAGCGACGCCGCGUGAGCGAUGAAGGCUUUCGAGUCGUAAAGCUCUGUCCUAUGGGAAGAUAAUGACGGUACCAUAGAAGAAAGCCCCGGCUAAUUACGUGCCAGCAGCCGCGGUAAUACGUAAGGGGCGAGCGUUGUCCGGAAUUAUUGGGCGUAAAGAGUGCGUAGGCGGCAAAUUAAGUCAGAUGUGAAAACUAAGGGCUCAACCCAUAGAUUGCAUCUGAAACUGAUAUGCUUGAGUCAAGGAGAGGAAAGUGGAAUUCCUAGUGUAGCGGUGGAAUGCGUAGAUAUUAGGAGGAAUACCGGUGGCGAAGGCGACUUUCUGGACUUGAACUGACGCUGAGGCACGAAAGCGUGGGGAGCAAACAGGAUUAGAUACCCUGGUAGUCCACGCCGUAAACGAUGAGUGCUAGGUG